CCCAGCUAAUCAUUAUGAAAUAAUUAACUUGAACCCCAGGAAGUCUUGCUCUGGGGACUGUGCUUCCAAUCACGAAGUUAUGCUAGUUUUAGUUUUAGAACUAUGGUAAGUAAUUUACUCAGCAGCUUGAAAGCACUGAAACAUUUUAAGUAAUACAUGGACAGGUAAGAAUAAAAUUGUCUGCCAUGUGCAGUGGCUCAUGCCUGUAAUCCCAGCACUUUAGGAGGCCAAGGCGGGCAGACUGCCUGAAGUUAGGAGUUCGAAAACCAUCUGGCCAACAUAGUGAAACCUCAUCUAUACUAAAAAUACAAAAAAAAAAAAAAAAAUUAGCCAGGCAUGGUGGUAUGUGCCUGUAAUCCCAGCUAUUCAGGAGGCUGAGGCAGGGGAAUUGCUUGAACCCAGGAGGCAGAGGUUGCAUUGAGCCAAGAUCGCUCCCUCGCACUCCAGCCUGGGCAACAAGAGCCAAACUCUAUCUAAAAAGAAUUGUCAGAUUGGAGGGACAAGCACAUACAUGGCCAGAAAAAUUAGGGAGCUAUUAUAUUACUCUAAACAAGAAAUGGUGAAAACAUGACCUAAGUUCCUAUUUUAACUAAAACUUUUUAUUUUUCUUUAGAAACAAGCACCAAUCAGCAGGCCAGAAGAAAUUGUUUUUCUUGCUCUAGUAGCAGGCUUUGGAAAUGCUUAGUAAACUGAACCUUUUAAUAUAUUGCUGACCUUCAGCUGCCUAUUUUCAAUUGAACAAAUCCAUUAUAGCCAACCAUAGGGCAUCAGAGAAUCAGCAUGGUAGAAAAGAAAAAUUUGAGUCCUUGAAGAUAUCACUCAGCCAUUAAGUCAACCAUCCCUGGAGAUGUUUUGUCCUGGACUUCAUGUUAUUAUUCCAACUUACACAUGUGAUUCAGAUACGAUUCUCACAGGAAAUUCAAAAGUAGGAACAGAUGCAAGCCUCGGCUUUGGCAUAACCACAAAGUCCCUGUUUUCCUAUGGCCCUAAAGCCCUUUCCGGAGAGACCUUUCUGACUCACCUCUUGGAGUUCCAGCUGGUACUGCUCUGCUGACUCCUGAGUCCCAGGAACACUUGUGGGUGUUUAUGGAAUGGAUUCCAGGAAGG
rnacentral:lncRNA from 13 species